GGAGAUCUGAGGAAAUAAAAUGUACCUCUUUUAGCAUAGUGGGUAGAAAGAUGCUGACUACCUAUCCGUUUGUUCUCAGAUAGAAUCUCUGGUGGCUGUUCAUGUGCUGUUCAGGAAGAGCAUUCCUUAUGAGGCUUUCCAGUUCCUUUCUAGCCAGCAUUCUUCACUUGAAAGGACUUUCUCUUCCUUAGAAGGCCAAAAGGUCUUGCUAGGGUUAAACUCCUGCCUGAUCUGAAAAGAAUUACAAAACGAAUAACUGAUUCUUCAGUUUCUGACCUUUCUGCCAGAGCUGGUGAGUAUCAAUUAAGCAAAUGAUGUCUAAAAGGUAAGAAAUUAAUUCCUUCUCGUUUCCUCCCUUGCUUGGUGUGAAAGCAGAAAGGGAUUCUCCUUGUGCUUAAAGACGGUGGAUGAGUUGGAUGAGAGAAGACAUUUACACAGCUUCCCUGGAUUUUAAUUGUUGAGAUAAUGAAGAUUUCAGAUGCCUUUUUAAUGCUCAAUGCCAUAGCCUGAAGCCAGCUGAGAAAGAGCACUACAUUAUUAAUGCCUCACCCUCCAAGCUGUUAACAAACAAUUGUUGUAAUAAAAGGAGGACUAAAAAUUA
rnacentral:lncRNA from 1 species